CCUACGGGAGGCAGCAGUGAGGAAUAUUGGUCAAUGGGCGCGAGCCUGAACCAGCCAAGUAGCGUGAAGGAUGACUGCCCUACGGGUUGUAAACUUCUUUUAUACAGGAAUAAAGUGAGGCACGUGUGCCUUUUUGUAUGUACUUUAUGUAUAAGGAUCGGCUAACUCCGUGCCAGCAGCCGCGGUAAUACGGAGGAUCCGAGCGUUAUCCGGAUUUAUUGGGUUUAAAGGGAACGUAGAUGGGUUGUUAAGUCAGUUGUGAAAGUUUGCGGCUCAACAGUAAAAUUGCAAUUGAUACUGGCAGACUUGAGUGCAGGUGAGGUAGGCGGAAUUCGUGGUGUAGCGGUGAAAUGCUUAG
rnacentral:rRNA from 1 species